GAUUAACGCUGGCGGCAUGCCUAAGACAUGCAAGUCGAACGAAGUGACCCAUUGAAGUUGGAGUGCUUGCACAAAAACGGAUUUGGAUUUUCACUUAGUGGCGGAUGGGUGAGUAACACGUGGGUAAUCUACCCUUAAGUUGGGGAUAACACAGGGAAACCUGUGCUAAUACCGAAUAUGAAGCAGAAAUGAUUUUUUUGUUUUGAAAGAUGCCUUUAAAGCAUCACUUAAGGAUGAGCCUGCGGCGUAUUAGCUAGUUGGUGGGGUAAUGGCCUACCAAGGCGAUGAUGCGUAGCCGAACUGAGAGGUUGAACGGCCACAUUGGGACUGAGACACGGCCCAAACUCCUACGGGAGACAGCAGUUAGGAAUAUUCGUCAAUGGGGGAAACCCUGAACGAGCAAUGCCGCGUGAGUGAUGAAGGUCUUUUGGAUUGUAAAACUCUGUUGUAUGGGAAGAACACCAGGUAUAGGAAAUGAUACUUGGCUGACGGUACCAUACCAGAAAGCCCCGG
rnacentral:rRNA from 1 species